rnacentral:rRNA from 1 species
GAUGAACGCUGGCGGCGUGCCUAAUACAUGCAAGUCGAGCGAACGGACGAGAAGCUUGCUUCUCUGAUGUUAGCGGCGGACGGGUGAGUAACACGUGGAUAACCUACCUAUAAGACUGGGAUAACUUCGGGAAACCGGAGCUAAUACCGGAUAAUAUUUUGAACCGCAUGGUUCAAAAGUGAAAGACGGUCUUGCUGUCACUUAUAGAUGGAUCCGCGCUGCAUUAGCUAGUUGGUAAGGUAACGGCUUACCAAGGCAACGAUGCAUAGCCGACCUGUGAGGUGGAGCGCCAACAUGGGAACGGAACCAGGCACCGUGCCCCGACGGGAGGAACCAGUAGGCAACUGUCGGAAAUGGGGGAAAGCCUGACGGAGCAAGGCGGGGGGAGAGAUAAAGGCUUUGGGUGCGUAAAACUGUGUUAUGGGGGAAAAAAAAAUGUGGAAGAAAAUGAACACUUAUUGACGGUACUUAAUAAAAAAGCCCCGGCUAACUACGUG